GCCAAAGAAACCAAGCGCGCGUCAGCGGCUGUUAUCGAGAGUUGACAAAGAGUCUUAACAGCGGUGGGCAGCGCAGGGGGGUAGGCACUGGCUGAUGUGCUUGUGAAAAGAUGCGACGCCAAAUGCGAAUCAAGUUUGCACCUUGGUUGAAAAUAAAACAAAAGCAAACCAAACUAAACGAAACGAAAUGAGAAGAGACGAAACGCUAUGGUAGGCAACAAAAAUACGCAACGAAACGAAACGAAAUGAAAUGAAACACAAAACGCGAGACUAAACAAGUUCCCAAAGAGCAUUAGAACAACUGAUAAUGACAAUAACGAUAAUGAUAAUGAAGAUGAUGAUGAUGUUGAUGAUGCGCAGCAAUUGGUUUCUGGCUGGCAUACCAAACCUUUUCGAUUACUUGGGAGAGAAGGAGACGACAAACUGACAAACUCGUAUUAUAAAUUUAUUGUGUAAUGACUGCAAUGACUAUCCAACAACAACAACAACAACUGUGACAAUAUAUGAAGCAAGAAUGUCUGAAAGUUGAGUAAAAAGUGAACUAAGCCGUAAAUACCCUGUAGAAUAAGAUGUUUAAAAUUUGCCCAAGAACAUAAUAAAAAUAAUGAAGAAGACAAUAAGUUAUAAUAAUAUAGAAUGUAAUUCUAGUUACCCAUUAAAUUAAUACA